GACGAACGCUGGCGGCGUGCCUAAUACAUGCAAGUAGAACGCACAGGAUGCACCGUAGUUUACUACACCGUAUUCUGUGAGUUGCGAACGGGUGAGUAACGCGUAGGUAACCUGCCUGGUAGCGGGGGAUAACUAUUGGAAACGAUAGCUAAUACCGCAUAAGAACAUUUACUGCAUGGUAGAUGUUUAAAAGGUGCAAAUGCAUCACUACCAGAUGGACCUGCGUUGUAUUAGCUAGUAGGUGAGGUAACGGCUCACCUAGGCGGCGAUACAUAGCCGACCUGAGAGGGUGAUCGGCCACACUGGGACUGAGACACGGCCCAGACUCCUACGGGAGGCAGCAGUAGGGAAUCUUCGGCAAUGGGGGGAACCCUGACCGAGCAACGCCGCGUGAGUGAAGAAGGUUUUCGGAUCGUAAAGCUCUGUUGUUAAGGAAGAACGAGUGUGAGAAUGGAAAGUUCAUACUGUGACG
rnacentral:rRNA from 1 species